rnacentral:rRNA from 1 species
GACGAACCGUGCGAACGUUAUUCGGAAUCAUUGGGCUUAAAGCGCGUGUAGGCGGAUUCGUGCGUCUGUCGCUGAAAUCCCCCGGCUCAACCGGGGAAGUGGCGUGGAUACGACGAGUCUGGAGGGGCAUAGGGGGGACCUGGAACUUCCGGUGGAGCGGUGAAAUGCGUUGAGAUCGGAAGGAACGCCCGUGGCGAAAGCGAGGUCCUGGAUGCUUACUGACGCUGAGACGCGAAAGCCAGGGGA